GAAAGAAUCAAGUAGAUGUUGGAGAAAUUAAAAGAGGGAUGUGUCCUCUUCUUCGUUAUCGACAGUGGUGCCUUGUAAAUUCAGCUGCAAAUUGUAAAACUUAGGCCAAAAUUUUCCUUCAAACACAAUAGCGUUUCUGUCCAACCACAGUCCCCAAAGUAGAUAGUUUACCCGAGCAAGGUUAUCUUUAAACUCGGAUUUCUUCAUCAAUGUCUCCACAAGCUCAAUCCACCAUUACUAAGGUUUGAGUUGAGUGUUUCUGGGGAGUGAGCUUGCAAUGGGGAAGAGUUUUACAUGCCUUACAUUUCUGGACAGUACACUAGCACAUGAAGUAUCGUCUCUGUGUCCGAGGAACAACGGGAGCACACUUCAUCUAGGGAAGUACUCUAUUGAUGGGUGAAAGAAGUGCCAGGCUAUAGAGUAGCUUGAAUUUACUGUGAAAUGGCUAGAGUUAUGGUGAAUCCAGGCUCAUCCAGUAGUUGUCUCACGCAGAGAAGAUUCUGAGCUCAGUCAUCAGUUCGGGGCAGUCGAAAUGCUGCAACAAUGCCAAACCACAGAUCAUCCCAAAACUUCACCAAUCCUCUUUUCUUCACUAUCUAUCUCACUCCUUUCUCCAAGACCUUCUUCCCUUCUAGAAGACUUCACUACGCUCAUGAAAGGCAAACUCCAGUUUUAGCAUCCAGGAAUAAGGUAAUUUCUGGCUGAAAUUGAGGGACCUGAGCAAAAUCUGAUUCAGAGGCUGAAAAAGGACUGCAUAUGCUGUUGGAGUCUGACCUUUCUGCACUCGAAUUGGAUUUUCUGGAGCUAUAGAAGCCCAAUUGGCACGCUCUCAAUUGCGUUAGAAAGUAGACAUCCUGGGCUUUUCAGCAAUGUAUAAUAGUUCAUACUUUGCUCGAGAUUUGAUGGCCCAAACCGGCAUUGCAAAUAAGCUUUAGAAUUCCCGGCGUUUAACGCCGGAACUGGCACAAAAGUUGGAGUUAAACGCCCAAACUGGCACAAAAGCUGACGUUUAACUCCAGAAAAAGUCUCUACACAUGAAAGCUUCAAUGCUCAGCCCAAGCACACACCAAGUGGACCCCAAAAGUGGAUUUUUACGUCAUUUACUUAUUUCUGUAUAUCCUAGGUUACUAGUCACUAUAAAUAGGAUCUUUUGACAUUGUAUCUGGACCUCAUGACACUUUACACGUUUCAUAUUGUACCUUCUACGGCAUGAGUCUCUAAACCCCAUGGUUGGGGGUGAGGAGCUCUGCUGUGUCUUGAUGGAUUAAUGCAAUUACUACUGUUUUUCAUUCAAACACGCUUGUUUCCAUUCUAAGAUAUCACUUGCUCCUCAACUUGAUGAAUGUGAUGAUCCGUGACACUCAUCAUCAUUCUCACCUAUGAACGUGUGCCUGACAACCACCUCCGUUUUACUUUAGAUUGAGUGGAUAUCUCUUGGAUUCUUUAGCCAGAAUCUUCGUGGUAUAAGCUAGACUAUAUUGGCGGCCAUUCUUGAGGAUCUGGAAUGUCUAAACCUUGUCUGUGGUAUUCUGAGUAGGAUUCAGGGAUUGAAUGACUGUGACGAGCUUCAAACUCGCGAUUGUGGGGCGUUAGUGACAGACGCAAAAGAAUCAAUGGAUUCUAUUCCGACAUGAUCGAGAAUCGACAGAUGAAUAGCCGUGCUGUGACAGAGCGCGUUGAACAUUUUCACUGAGAGGA